rnacentral:rRNA from 1 species
GAUGAACGCUGGCGGCGUGCCUAAUACAUGCAAGUCGAGCGAACAGACGAGGAGCUUGCUCCUCUGACGUUAGCGGCGGACGGGUGAGUAAUACGUGGAUAACCUACCUAUAAGACUGGGAUAACUUCGGGAAACCGGAGCUAAUACCGGAUAAUAUAUUGAACCGCAUGGUUCAAUAGUGAAAGACGGUUUUGCUGUCACUUAUAGAUGGAUCCGCGCCGCAUUAGCUAGUUGGUAAGGUAACGGCUUACCAAGGCGACGAUGCGUAGCCGACCUGAGAGGAGGAGCAGGCACACUGGAACGGAGACACGGGCCAGACGCCUACGGGAGGCAGAAGUGGGGAAUAUUGGACAAGGGGCGAAAGGCUGAUCCAGCCAUGCCGCGUGUGGGAAGAAGGUCUUCGGAUUGUAAAGCACUGUAAGUUGGGAGGAAGGGCAGGAAGUUAAUACCUUGCUGUUGUGACGUUACCAACAGAAUAAGCACCGGCUAACUUCGUG